GCCUACUGCUGGAUUCUGAUAGAGU
rnacentral:piRNA from 1 species